UACGUAGGAGGCAAGCGUUGUCCGGAAUUACUGGGCGUAAAGCGCGUGUAGGUGGUGGGACGAGUCUGCUGUGAAAGCGCCUGGCUUAACCGGGCGAGGUCGGCGGAAACUGUCCGACUCGAGGACGGUAGAGGGGGGUGGAAUUCCCGGUGUAGUGGUGAAAUGCGUAGAGAUCGGGAGGAACACCUGUGGCGAAGGCGGCCCCCUGGGCCGGCCCUGACACUGAGACGCGAAGGCGUGGGGAGCGAACGGG
rnacentral:rRNA from 1 species